rnacentral:rRNA from 1 species
UACGUAGGGGGCAAGCGUUGUCCGGAUUUACUGGGCGUAAAGAGCGUGUAGGCGGCCAGGCAGGUCUGUUGUGAAAACUGGAGGCUCAACUUCCAGACGUCGACAGAAACCGCUUGGCUAGAGUCCGGAAGAGGAGAGUGGAAUUCCUGGUGUAGCGGUGAAAUGCGCAGAUAUCAGGAGGAAUACCGGCGGCGAAGGCGGCUAUCUGGCCCAACAUUGACACUGAGGCCCAAAAGCGUGGGGAUCAAACAGG